rnacentral:rRNA from 1 species
AUUGAACGCUGGCGGCAGGCCUAACACAUGCAAGUCGAACGAGUGGCGGACGGGUGAGUAAUGUCUGGGAAACUGCCCGAUGGCGGGGGAUAACUACUGGAAACGGUAGCUACUACCGCAUACCAUCGGAUGUGCCCAGAUGGGAUUAGCUAGUAGGUGGGGUAACGGCUCACCUGGGCGACGAUCCCUAGCUGGUCUGAGAGGAUGACCAGCACACCUGGAACUAAGAAACGGUCCAGACUCCUACGGAGGGAAGCAUUGGGGAAUAUUGCACAAUGGGCGCAAGCCUGAGGCGGCAAUGCGGCGUGGAUGACGAAGGCCUUCGGGUUGUAAGGUACUUUCAGCGAGGAGGCGUUACUCGCAGAAGAAGCACCGGCUAACUCCGUGCCAGCAGCCGCGGUAAUAC